GGAAGUAAAAGUCAACAAGGUCUCCGUUGGUGAACCAGCGGAGGGAUCAUUACCGAGUUACAACUCCCAAACCCAAUGUGAACCAUACCAAACUGUUGCCUCGGCGGGGUCACGCCCCGGGUGCGUCGCAGCCCCGGAACCAGGCGCCCGCCGGAGGGACCAACCAAACUCUUUCUGUAGUCCCCUCGCGGACGUUAUUUUUACAGCUCUGAGCAAAAAUUCUAAAUGAAUCAAAACUUUCAACAACGGAUCUCUUGGUUCUG
rnacentral:misc_RNA from 1 species